AAUCAGCACAAUUUAACACACCAAUUAACUUGGUGAUUUCAGGUGUGAUCGGUAACAGCUGAGCUAAUUCUGGAUUGCUAUUACAAAGGGGGUGGAGACCGUUGUAUUUUAAGUAAUAGUAAUGGUUGUUUCACAAAUAAAAAUCCCACUUAAAAGUGUGUAUUAAGGGGGUGGGGGGUGUCCUGAUGUAAAUGCAUGAAGCUCUGAGGCACUGACUUGAAGUUCAAGGGGAUGUUGACUCCUAUAGGCACCGAAUGUUCUCACCACAUCCCAUGUCCAGCUGGCCUAGACUGUUCACCUGUGUCGAUUACAGAAAAGGCAGGUCCUUGAGGAAGCAGAGUUGUUAGACACACGAAUCAGUGCCCUGGAAGAGGACCUGGAUGAGGUGGAGACCAGCGAAGAGGAAGAUGAAGAGGAGGAUAAGCCAGAACGAGUUCAGACCCCAGAACCACACAGACGGAGUUACCGGGACAACGACAGGCCUCGCCGCUCACCCUCUCCACGUUACCGACGCAGCCGCUCACCCAGACGGAGGAGCAGAUCACCCAAGAGGCGGAGCCCCUCCCCCAGGCGAGAACGUCACCGCAGCAAGAGCCCCCGUCGCCACCGUAGCCGCUCCCGAGAAAGACGUCACCGCUCAAAGUCCCCAGGGCAUCACAGAAGCCACAGACAUCGUAGCCACUCCAAAUCCCCAGAAAGGAGUUCAAAAAAGAGCCACAAGAAGAGCCGAAGAGGAAACGAAUGACCCGUUUUGUAUUUUGUUCCCUCUUAUAUUUCCCUCUUCUUUUUCUUUUUUUUUUUAUCUUAAAAGUUAAUGUGCCCACAUUUGUACAUGUGUAUGGACUCCCUUAUAUUUUGUAUUUCAAGUUGGAAUCCGAU
ensembl:lncRNA